rnacentral:misc_RNA from 1 species
GUAGGUGAACCUGCGGAAGGAUCAUUAUUGAUUUCAAAUGGGAUGUGCUGGUCUUUCAAAGGACAAUGUGCACUCUCAACCUUUACAUCCACCUGUGCACCUUUCGUAGACAAUAGGGAUUGACGUCCCUGUCUAUGUUUUUAUUACACAUGAUUUAUUAUGGAUUGUAGUAUGGCUUUUAAAGCCAAUAAAACUAUACAACUUUCAACAACGGAUCUCUUGGUUCUGGCAUCGAUGAAGAACGCAGCAU